UACGAAGGGGGCUAGCGUUGCUCGGAAUCACUGGGCGUAAAGGGUGCGUAGGCGGGUCUUUAAGUCAGGGGUGAAAUCCUGGGGCUCAACUCCAGAACUGCCUUUGAUACUGAAGAUCUUGAGUUCGGGAGAGGUGAGUGGAACUGCGAGUGAGAGGUGAAAUUCGUAGAUAUCGCAAGAACACCAGUGGCGAAGGCGGACUCACUGGCCCGAUACGUGACGCUGAGGCACGAA
rnacentral:rRNA from 1 species